rnacentral:rRNA from 1 species
AAAUUGAAGAGUUUGAUCAUGGCUCAGAUUGAACGCUGGCGGCAGGCCUAACACAUGCAAGUCGAGCGGAAACGACAACAUUGACUCUUCGGAGGAUUUGUUGGGCGUCGAGCGGCGGACGGGUGAGUAAUGCCUAGGAAAUUGCCUUGAUGUGGGGGAUAACCAUUGGAAACGAUGGCUAAUACCGCAUAAUGCCUACGGGCCAAAGAGGGGGACCUUCGGGCCUCUCGCGUCAAGAUAUGCCUAGGUGGGAUUAGCUAGUUGGUGAGGUAAUGGCUCACCAAGGCGACGAUCCCUAGCUGGUCUGAGAGGAUGAUCAGCCACACUGGAACUGAGACACGGUCCAGACU